rnacentral:misc_RNA from 1 species
AAGCUUCUUCAAGAUAUUGGGCUAUGGCUAUCACAGAGAAUCAAGGAUCAUUUUUCGAAAGAACAUAAGAUGACCAUAAACCUAAAAUAUAUUGAUCCAACUUAUAUGAUCCGAGCUAUUCCAAGUAAUGCCUCAGACAAUGUUUAUUGCACUCUGCUUGCUCAAAGUGCUGUACAUGGAGCCAUGGCUGGCUAUACUGGCUAUACUAGCGGCCUUGUUAACGGAAGACAGACAUACAUUCCAUUCUAUCGAAUUACAGAGAAACAGAACAAGGUUGUGAUAACCGACAGAAUGUGGGCAAGGCUUCUAUCAUCGACGAACCAGCCUAGCUUUCUGAUUGGGAAAGACGUAGUGGAG